rnacentral:lncRNA from 1 species
UCCUUUAUCAACUACAGCUAUUGUAAAUAUGCUGUACUACUCUGUGGCUUGCUUUAUCACUCUCUUGAUAGUGUCUUUUAUGAAUAGAAGUUCCUAAUUUUAACAUUCAAUUUAACUACCUUUUUCUUUAUUAUUCUUAGUGCUUCGAUUUUGUUUUAGUAAUCUUUGCCUACUCCAAAAAGGGAGCUUUUCUAUAUUCACAUUUAGUGCUUGCCUCGGCAGCACAUAUACUAAAAUUCUAAAUUCA